CAGUCGCCGCGGUAAUACGUAGGUGGCAAGCGUUGUCCGGAAUUAUUGGGCGUAAAGCGCGCGCAGGUGGUUUAAUAAGUCUGAUGUGAAAGCCCACGGCUCAACCGCGGAGGGUCAUUGGAAACUGUUAAACUUGAGUGCAGGAGAGAAAAGUGGAAUUCCUAGUGUAGCGGUGAAAUGCGUAGAGAUUAGGAGGAACACCAGUGGCGAAGGCGGCUUUUUGGCCUGUAACUGACGCUGAGGCUCGAAAGCGUGGGGAGCAAACAGGAUUAGAUACCCCAGUAGUCCCUGUCUCUUAUAC
rnacentral:rRNA from 1 species